rnacentral:rRNA from 1 species
GUAGGUGGCAAGCGUUGUCCGGAAUUAUUGGGCGUAAAGCGCGCGCAGGGCGGUCCUUUAAGUCUGAUGUGAAAGCCCACGGCUCAACCGUGGAGGGUCAUUGGAAACUGGGGGACUUGAGUACAGAAGAGGAAAGCGGAAUUCCAAGUGUAGCGGUGGAAUGCGUAGAGAUUUGGAGGAACACCAGUGGCGAAGGCGGCUUUCUGGUCUGUAACUGACGCUGAGGCGCGAAAGCGUGGGGAGCAAACAGGAUUAGAUACCCUGGUAGUCCACGCCGUAAACGAUGAGUGCUAAGUGUUAGGGGGUUUCCGCCCCUUAGUGCUGCAGCUAACGCAUUAAGCACUCCGCCUGGGGAGUACGGCCGCAAGGCUG